rfam:Bombyx mori DNA, contig: Bm_scaf111_contig37347, strain: p50T/Dazao, build 2, whole genome shotgun sequence.
CUUCUAUGAUGACUUAAUUCAGUUCUGCUUCUGAGUAAAAUUGAAGAUAACUUUACCCACAUUUCUGAUUA